rnacentral:rRNA from 1 species
UACGUAGGUGGCAAGCGUUGUCCGGAUUUACUGGGCGUAAAGAGCGCGCAGGCGGUCGCUCAAGUCGCGUGUGAAAGCCCCCGGCCCAACUGGGGAGGGUCACGCGAUACUGAUCGACUGGAAGGCAGGAGAGGGUAGUGGAAUUCCCGGUGUAGUGGUGAAAUGCGUAGAUAUCGGGAGGAACACCAGUGGCGAAGGCGACUACCUGGCCUGUUCUUGACGCUGAGGCGCGAAAGCUAGGGGAGCAAACGGG